UAAAAUCCCCCAAAUAAAUGCGUAUAAAUACGCCCAAUCAAAUCCCCCCACACUUAAACAAAGCUCGCCCUCGAGCACCAAAAAGAACAAAACGACAGGGAAGGAACAAAAGAAGACUCAAAACAGCAAAAACAAAGCUUUGGCAACAAUAUGAUAGAUAAUACUCAAAAUCUUGAUCAAGAUACAAUCAUCCACAAACCACUAACCAUGCUCUUGCUCAGAAAAUUAUGCCAUGUUCUUCAUUCAAGUCAAAAUUGUGCAAAUUCAAUCCUGCCUCACCAAGUUCACUCAAUUUCUCUCAAAAGACAAAUAUGGACAGAAUAGAUUCACACAAUUCACAACUUUAUGCCUUCAAACACAGCUUGCCCUUAUGUCACUAUCUCCACCAAAAUAUGGAACCAAUGCACAAAUCAAAAGGUCUUGCAAUUUUGGUUGUAAUGGGGCUUGGGUACGUAUAGGGCAUAAACAUGAAUGAAUGUAUACACAAUAGGCCCUUUAUUUCCUUUGCACUUUUGCUACUUUUUCUUUCUUUCUCUUUUUCUUGUUUUUCUGUUUUUUUUUUUUUUUUUUUUUCUAACUGCAUAUAUAUCCCCAAUAACUUAAUGAAUCAUCACUCAACACACUAAAAUGAUAGGAAUACUCAUUUCUCAUCUCGUCAUAACCUAGUGCAUUCACAUGUUUUCAAGGGACAAAAGCAGGCUAAAAUAGGCUAAGGCUCAAUAUAUGUGACUUUUAAUCAAAC
rnacentral:lncRNA from 1 species